GGGUUGUGAGGUUAAGCGACUAAGCGUACACGGUGGAUGCCCUGGCAGUCAGAGGCGAUGAAGGACGUGCUAAUCUGCGAUAAGCGUCGGUAAGGUGAUAUGAACCGUUAUAACCGGCGAUUUCCGAAUGGGGAAACCCAGUGUGUUUCGACACACUAUCAUUAACUGAAUCCAUAGGUUAAUGAGGCGAACCGGGGGAACUGAAACAUCUAAGUACCCCGAGGAAAAGAAAUCAACCGAGAUUCCCCCAGUAGCGGCGAGCGAACGGGGAGCAGCCCAGAGCCUGAAUCAGUGUGUGUGUUAGUGGAAGCGUCUGGAAAGGCGCGCGAUACAGGGUGACAGCCCCGUACACAAAAAUGCACAUGCUGUGAGCUCGAUGAGUAGGGCGGGACACGUGGUAUCCUGUCUGAAUAUGGGGGGACCAUCCUCCAAGGCUAAAUACUCCUGACUGACCGAUAGUGAACCAGUACCGUGAGGGAAAGGCGAAAAGAACCCCGGCGAGGGGAGUGAAAAAGAACCUGAAACCGUGUACGUACAAGCAGUGGGAGCACAGAGCAAUCUGUGUGACUGCGUACCUUUUGUAUAAUGGGUCAGCGACUUAUAUUCUGUAGCAAGGUUAACCGAAUAGGGGAGCCGAAGGGAAACCGAGUCUUAACUGGGCGUUAAGUUGCAGGGUAUAGACCCGAAACCCGGUGAUCUAGCCAUGGGCAGGUUGAAGGUUGGGUAACACUAACUGGAGGACCGAACCGACUAAUGUUGAAAAAUUAGCGGAUGACUUGUGGCUGGGGGUGAAAGGCCAAUCAAACCGGGAGAUAGCUGGUUCUCCCCGAAAGCUAUUUAGGUAGCGCCUCGUGAAUUCAUCUCCGGGGGUAGAGCACUGUUUCGGCAAGGGGGUCAUCCCGACUUACCAACCCGAUGCAAACUGCGAAUACCGGAGAAUGUUAUCACGGGAGACACACGGCGGGUGCUAACGUCCGUCGUGAAGAGGGAAACAACCCAGACCGCCAGCUAAGGUCCCAAAGUCAUGGUUAAGUGGGAAACGAUGUGGGAAGGCCCAGACAGCCAGGAUGUUGGCUUAGAAGCAGCCAUCAUUUAAAGAAAGCGUAAUAGCUCACUGGUCGAGUCGGCCUGCGCGGAAGAUGUAACGGGGCUAAACCAUGCACCGAAGCUGCGGCAGCGACGCUGAUGCGUUGUUGGGUAGGGGAGCGUUCUGUAAGCCUGCGAAGGUGUGCUGUGAGGCAUGCUGGAGGUAUCAGAAGUGCGAAUGCUGACAUAAGUAACGAUAAAGCGGGUGAAAAGCCCGCUCGCCGGAAGACCAAGGGUUCCUGUCCAACGUUAAUCGGGGCAGGGUGAGUCGACCCCUAAGGCGAGGCCGAAAGGCGUAGUCGAUGGGAAACAGGUUAAUAUUCCUGUACUUGGUGUUACUGCGAAGGGGGGACGGAGAAGGCUAUGUUGGCCGGGCGACGGUUGUCCCGGUUUAAGCGUGUAGGCUGGUUUUCCAGGCAAAUCCGGAAAAUCAAGGCUGAGGCGUGAUGACGAGGCACUACGGUGCUGAAGCAACAAAUGCCCUGCUUCCAGGAAAAGCCUCUAAGCAUCAGGUAACAUCAAAUCGUACCCCAAACCGACACAGGUGGUCAGGUAGAGAAUACCAAGGCGCUUGAGAGAACUCGGGUGAAGGAACUAGGCAAAAUGGUGCCGUAACUUCGGGAGAAGGCACGCUGAUAUGUAGGUGAAGUCCCUCGCGGAUGGAGCUGAAAUCAGUCGAAGAUACCAGCUGGCUGCAACUGUUUAUUAAAAACACAGCACUGUGCAAACACGAAAGUGGACGUAUACGGUGUGACGCCUGCCCGGUGCCGGAAGGUUAAUUGAUGGGGUCAGCGCAAGCGAAGCUCUUGAUCGAAGCCCCGGUAAACGGCGGCCGUAACUAUAACGGUCCUAAGGUAGCGAAAUUCCUUGUCGGGUAAGUUCCGACCUGCACGAAUGGCGUAAUGAUGGCCAGGCUGUCUCCACCCGAGACUCAGUGAAAUUGAACUCGCUGUGAAGAUGCAGUGUACCCGCGGCAAGACGGAAAGACCCCGUGAACCUUUACUAUAGCUUGACACUGAACAUUGAGCCUUGAUGUGUAGGAUAGGUGGGAGGCUUUGAAGUGUGGACGCCAGUCUGCAUGGAGCCGACCUUGAAAUACCACCCUUUAAUGUUUGAUGUUCUAACGUGGACCCGUGAUCCGGGUUGCGGACAGUGUCUGGUGGGUAGUUUGACUGGGGCGGUCUCCUCCUAAAGAGUAACGGAGGAGCACGAAGGUUGGCUAAUCCUGGUCGGACAUCAGGAGGUUAGUGCAAUGGCAUAAGCCAGCUUGACUGCGAGCGUGACGGCGCGAGCAGGUGCGAAAGCAGGUCAUAGUGAUCCGGUGGUUCUGAAUGGAAGGGCCAUCGCUCAACGGAUAAAAGGUACUCCGGGGAUAACAGGCUGAUACCGCCCAAGAGUUCAUAUCGACGGCGGUGUUUGGCACCUCGAUGUCGGCUCAUCACAUCCUGGGGCUGAAGUAGGUCCCAAGGGUAUGGCUGUUCGCCAUUUAAAGUGGUACGCGAGCUGGGUUUAGAACGUCGUGAGACAGUUCGGUCCCUAUCUGCCGUGGGCGCUGGAGAACUGAGGGGGGCUGCUCCUAGUACGAGAGGACCGGAGUGGACGCAUCACUGGUGUUCGGGUUGUCAUGCCAAUGGCACUGCCCGGUAGCUAAAUGCGGAAGAGAUAAGUGCUGAAAGCAUCUAAGCACGAAACUUGCCCCGAGAUGAGUUCUCCCUGACUCCUUGAGAGUCCUGAAGGAACGUUGAAGACGACGACGUUGAUAGGCCGGGUGUGUAAGCGCAGCGAUGCGUUGAGCUAACCGGUACUAAUGAACCGUGAGGCUUAACCUUACAACGCCGAAGGUGUUU
rnacentral:rRNA from 1 species